rnacentral:snoRNA from 1 species
AACCCAUGGUAAAGGCAUCGUCUCGAGAGAUCCUUGUAUCUCUCCCAUGCAUCGUAGAGUGUCUCUAAAUCUAUCUGCACAAAAGAAGAGAUAUCAUUAUGUAAUU